UGGGCCGACAAGACGGUCGCGUCAUCGGUGUGGUCUUCGGAUUGAUUUCGGGGACUGAGCGGAUGCCGAGGAACGUCCGGGCUCCACAGAGCAGGAUGGUGGGUAACACCCACCCGGGGUAACCCGCGAGACAGUGCCACAGAAAGUAGACCGCCCCCGGGCCGGGCCUUCGGGCCGGGCCAGGAGGUAAGGGUGAAACGGUGGUGUAAGAGACCACCAGAGGCCAGGGUGACCUGGUCGGCUCGGUAAACCUCGUCCGGAGCAAGGUCAGACAGAAAGCGCUAAGGCUGCUCGCCGAGCUUUCGGGUAGACCGCUAGAGGGCUGCGGCAACGUAGUCCCGAGAUAGAUGGCCGUCCAGGGUGCUUCGGCACCGGGACAGAACCCGGCGUAAUAGUCAGCCCAGUCC
rnacentral:RNase_P_RNA from 1 species